GACUCUCGGCAACGGAUAUCUCGGCUCUCGCAUCGAUGAAGAACGUAGCGAAAUGCGAUACUUGGUGUGAAUUGCAGAAUCCCGUGAACCAUCGAGUCUUUGAACGCAAGUUGCGCCCGAAGCCGUCAGGCCGAGGGCACGUCUGCCUGGGUGUCACGCAACGUCGCC
rnacentral:rRNA from 1 species